rnacentral:rRNA from 1 species
GGGGAAUAUUGGACAAUGGGGGCAACCCUGAUCCAGCGACGCCGCGUGUGUGAAGAAGGCCUGCGGGUUGUAAAGCACUUUUAGUGGGGAUGCAAAGCCAAGGGCUAAUACCCUUUGGUCUUGACCUAACCCAAAGAAAAAGCACCGGCUAACUCUGUGCCAGCAGCCGCGGUAAUACAGAGGGUGCGAGCGUUAAUCGGAAUUACUGGGCGUAAAGCGCACGUAGGUGGCUUUGCAAGUCGAUUGUGAAAUCCCCGGGCUUAACCUGGGAACUGCAGUCGAGACUGCUUUGCUUGAGUAUGGGAGAGGGAGGUGGAAUUUCCGGUGUAGCGGUGAAAUGCGUAGAUAUCGGAAGGAACAUCAGUGGCGAAGGCGACCUCCUGGACCAAUACUGACACUCAAGUGCGAAAGCGUGGGGAGCAAA